CAAUCCCCUUCGACAGCGAGCAGCACGCCUGUGCGUUCCCGCAAGCCGCUCGUCUACACCGGGUAAGUAA
rnacentral:snoRNA from 1 species